GUGAAAAUGUGGACACAAAGCUGGAGUGUGGCAGACCGGAGGACGAGUGGGACUCAAAUAUGAGUUAAAGCAGCACGGGAAGAGUUUUGGCCAAGUUUUGUUCCCCCGGGAGAAGCUGGAGAAGGUUCUGGAGCCUGAAGCGUCCACAGAGACACGGACGGAGCAUCUCCAGGGAGCGGGACAAAGGACAAAGGCACGGAGACCACGUGGACCUUUGUCCACGCCGACAAACUCACUGCCAAGGCUGAGUUGCGCGUGUUGAUGAUGUCAUCAGUGAUGUCACUUCCUCUUAUCGUCGUACUUUCUUGAACGGCAC